rnacentral:rRNA from 1 species
CAGUAGCCGCGGGAAUACAGAGGGUGCAAGCGUUAAUCGGAAUUACUGGGCGUAAAGCGCGCGUAGGUGGUUUGUUAAGUCUGCUGUGAAAUCCCCGGGCUCAACCUGGGAAUGGCAGUGGAUACUGGCAAGCUAGAGUGUGUCAGAGGAUGGUGGAAUUCCCGGUGUAGCGGUGAAAUGCGUAGAGAUCGGGAGGAACAUCAGUGGCGAAGGCGGCCAUCUGGGACAACACUGACGCUGAGGCACGAAAGCGUGGGGAGCAAACAGGAUUAGAUACCCGCGUAGUCCCUGUCUCUUAUAC